rnacentral:misc_RNA from 1 species
GUCGUAAAGGUGCAUGAGUGGUGUUUGGUUUGUUACGUGUGGUUGGCUGCGGCGUUUGCAACAACUUCCAUGCUUUCAGACCUCUUCAGUUGUGCGGCAAGGCUUGUAUCGCCUUGAGCGUAUUGUGGGUUUUCUGUGUUGGCUACCUAAUCAAUGGUAUCGGUUGGAUUGAUCAAUGUUUCAUUUCGUCUACCGUCGCAUUCGCGGCGUGAGAUGAACCUUGAUGCGGUCUCUUUGAUCCACCUCGUCGAAGCGCAUGCUUUGGCGUUGUGGCACAUUGAGCAUUGCUUGGUCUCUUGUAUACGGAACAUAUAGUGGGCAUGGAUCUAACGAUUCUCGUUUGCCCUCGUAUUAGCGUAACGCUUCUCUUACACGACUUGCACCACGUUUUAGCUCGUACGGACGUGGUGCUA